CCUACGGGGGGCAGCAGUGGGGAAUAUUGCGCAAUGGGCGAAAGCCUGACGCAGCGACGCCGCGUGAGGGAUGAAGGUCUUCGGAUCGUAAACCUCUGUCAGCAGGGAAGAACGGUCACUGUGCUAAUCAGCAGUGAAUUGACGGUACCUGCAAAGGAAGCACCGGCUAACUCCGUGCCAGCCGCCGCGGUAAUACGGAGGGUGCGAGCGGUAAUCGGAAUUACUGGGCGUAAAGCGCGCGUAGGCGGUAUGUCAAGGCAAGGGUGAAAUCCCCGCGCUCAACGUGGGAACUGCCUUUGAAACUGGCAAACUGGAGUGGGUGAGAGGAUAGUGGAAUGCCAGGUGUAGGAGGGAAAUCCGUAGAUAUCUGGAGGAACAUCAGUGGCGAAGGCGACUAUCUGGCACAUAACUGACGCUGAGGAGCGAAAGCGUGGGUAGCAAACAGGAUUAGAUACCCGGGUAGUC
rnacentral:rRNA from 1 species